rnacentral:lncRNA from 1 species
ACCAAUUGCCCUCCACCUUCCCCUUUGACAACCUGGAGACCCUCACUCUCACCAACAACCCAUGGAAAUGCACAUGCCAGCUCCGUGGCCUUCGACGGUGGUUGGAAGCCAAGACUUCUCGACCAGAUGCUACCUGCUCUUCACCAGCCAAGUUCAAGGGUCAGCGUAUUCGUGACACGGAUGCCCUCCGCAGCUGCAAAUCCCCCACCAAGAGGUCCAAGAAAGCUGGCCGCCAUUAAACAGGUGGGGCCGGGUAGGGAGGCCACCACCGUCUGCCUUUGGUGCUGCCCCAUUUCCAGAUGGGGUGCUAGACCCUAUGACACCACCUCUGGACGGGCAAUCAGAGCCUCUGUCUUACAAGAAAAGGGAGGACUGGGUGUCCUCUCCAAGGGCUUGGCCUAGGACGUCCCUGGUUCCCUUUGAUGCCUCUGGGUAAUUGGAGUCCUAAUCCCCAUCAUUCCUCACUGCAGGUCCUGAUCCAGCCAGUCCUGGUGACUGUUUUCCGCUGGAGAGACUACUGAUGUUCCCCCUACCAUCCGCACCUUCUCCCACAGCCUCUGUGGAUGCACAGAGCUACCCCAUACCUAGGUACAUCCUGGCAGGGGGCACUGGACUCCCUAUAGCCACCCCGGUUCCACCCAGUGGGGUCCUAGGGAGGACACAGAACUCCUCCCCAGCCACUGUGCCUGGGAUCUGCCAUGGCUCCUCUCAGAGAAGCUAUUAUAGAACCUCUGUCCAUCUGUCUAUCGGAGCUAACCAGUGGUCAUCGGGAUGACCACAUUAUUACCACCUUCCUCAAUUCCCUGCUCCCCUGCCAUUUGGAAACAAACAUCAAGCCCUUGACCCACCCUGAUUGCCAGAAAAAAUUUCAGGCUCAUGCCCCAACUGUGCCAAUCCCCCUGCCUGCCAGGGCGUGCUAACAGGAUACCAGUAGUACUUGGCUGCAUACCUUUCCAUGCUGUAUUUCUGCCCCGGAUUUCUAUAAACAUAAAUGUCUGUGUGU